rnacentral:rRNA from 1 species
UAGAAUUGACGGGACCCGCACAAGCAGCGGAGCGUGUGGUUUAAUUCGAGGCUACACGAAGAACCUUACCAGGGUUUGACAUGCAAGUGGUAGGAAUCCGAAAGGUGACCGACCCUUCGGGGAGCUUGCACAGGUGCUGCAUGGCUGUCGUCAGCUCGUGUCGUGAGAUGUUCGGUUAAGUCCGCUAACGAGCGCAACCCUCGUCGUGUGUUAUACGUGUCACACGAUACUGCCGGUAUCAAGCCGGAGGAAGGUGGGGAUGAUGUCAAGUCAGCAUGGCCUUUACAUCCUGGGCUACACACACGCUACAAUGGCAGAUACAAUAGGUUGCGAAACCGCGAGGUGGAGCCAAUCCUCAAAGUCUGUCUCAGUUCAGAUUGUAGGCUGCAACUCGCCUGCAUGAAGUUGGAGUUGCUAGUAAACGCAGGUCAGCUAUACUGCGUUGAAUACGUUCCCGGGGUUU